rnacentral:rRNA from 1 species
ACUCAAAACUCAAAGGACUUGACGGUGUCCCAAACCAACCUAGAGGAGCCUGUCAUAUAAUCGAUAAUCCACGUUUUACCCCACCCCCCUUUGAAACCAGCCUGUAUACCGCCGUCUCUCAGUUCGCCUUAUGACAGACCCAAAGCGAACACAACAGCCCACCACUAGGACGUCAGGUCAAGGUGCAGCCAAUAGGGGGGCAGCGAUGGGCUACAUUUUCUAAUACAAUAGAACAUCACCAGCCACCACAUGAAAUACGGGUCAAAAGGCGGAUUUAGCAGUAAGCCAGACA